rnacentral:misc_RNA from 1 species
GAAAUGCGAUAAGUAAUGUGAAUUGCAGAAUUCAGUGAAGCAUCGAAUCUUUGAACGCAACUUGCGCUCCUUGGUAUUCCUUGGAGCAUGCCUGUUUGAGUAUCAUGAAAUCUUCAAAGUAAAUCUUUUGUUAACUCAAUUGGUUUCUACUUUGGUAUUGGAGGUCUUUGCAGCUUCACACCUGCUCCUCUUUGUUCAUUAGCUGGAUCUCAGUGUUAUGCUUGGUUCCACUCGGCGUGAUAAGUUAUCUAUCGCUGAGGACACUGUAAAAGGUGGCCAAGGUAAAUGCAGAUGAACCGCUUCUAAUAGUCCAUUGACUUGGACAAUACUUUUAUGAUCUGAUCUCAAAUCAGGUAGGACUACCCGCUGAACUUAAGC